CUACGGGGGGCACCAGUGAGGAAUAUUGCACAAUGGGGGGAACCCUGAUGCAGCAACGCCGCGUGGAGGAUGACGCAUUUCGGUGUGUAAACUCCUUUUAUAUGUCAAGAAAAUGACGGUAGCAUAUGAAUAAGCACCGGCUAACUCCGUGCCAGCAGCCGCGGUAAUACGGAGGGUGCAAGCGUUACUCGGAAUCACUGGGCGUAAAGGACGCGUAGGCGGGCUUGUAAGUCAGGUGUGUAAUCCUACAGCUUAACUGUAGAACUGCACUUGAAACUACGAGCCUAGAGUAUGGGAGGGGGAGAUGGAAUUAGUGGUGUAGGGGUAAAUCCGUAGAUAUCACUAGGAAUACCUAAAGCGAAGGCGAUCUCCUGGAACAUAACUGACGCUAAGGCGUGAAAGCGUGGGGAGCAAACAGGAUUAGAUACCCGCGUAGUC
rnacentral:rRNA from 1 species